CUUGCUAAGGCCGAUGGCGACCGGCGCACGGGUGAGUAACACGUAUCCAACCUGCCGUCUACUCUUGGACAGCCUUCUGAAAGGAAGAUUAAUACAAGAUGGCAUCAUGAGUUCACAUGUUCACAUGAUUAAAGGUAUUCCGGUAGACGAUGGGGAUGCGUUCCAUUAGAUAGUAGGCGGGGUAACGGCCCACCUAGUCUUCGAUGGAUAGGGGUUCUGAGAGGAAGGUCCCCCACAUUGGAACGGAGACACGGUCCAAACUCCUACGGGAGGCAGCAGUGAGGAAUAUUGGUCAAUGGGCGCAGGCCUGAACCAGCCAAGUAGCGUGAAGGAUGACUGCCCUAUGGGUUGUAAACUUCUUUUACAAAGGAAUAAAGUCGGGUAUGUAUACCCGUUUGCAUGUACUUUAUGAAUAAGGAUCGGCUAACUCCGUGCCAGCAGCCGCGGUAAUACGGAGGAUCCGAGCGUUAUCCGGAUUUAUUGGGUUUAAAGGGAGCGUAGAUGGAUGUUUAAGUCAGUUGUGAAAGUUUGCGGCUCAACCGUAAAAUUGCAGUUGAUACUGGAUAUCUUGAGUGCAGUUGAGGCAGGCGGAAUUCGUGGUGUAGCGGUGAAAUGCUUAGAUAUCACGAAGAACUCCGAUUGCGAAGGCAGCCUGCU
rnacentral:rRNA from 1 species